GAUGAACGCUGGCGGCGUGCUUAACACAUGCAAGUCGAACGAAGCAUUUAGGACAGAUUACUUCGGUUUGAAGUUCUUUAUGACUGAGUGGCGGACGGGUGAGUAACGCGUGGGUAACCUGCCUUGUACUGGGGGAUAGCAGCUGGAAACGGCUGGUAAUACCGCAUAAGCGCACAAUGUUGCAUGACAUGGUGUGAAAAACUCCGGUGGUAUAAGAUGGACCCGCGUCUGAUUAGCUAGUUGGUGAGAUAACAGCCCACCAAGGCGACGAUCAGUAGCCGACCGGAGAGGGUGACCGGCCACAUUGGGACUGAGACACGGCCCAGACUCCUACGGGAGGCAGCAGUGGGGAAUAUUGCACAAUGGAGGAAACUCUGAUGCAGCGACGCCGCGUGAGUGAAGAAGUAAUUCGUUAUGUAAAGCUCUAUCAGCAGGGAAGAUAGUGACGGUACCUGACAAAGAAGCUCCGGCUAAAUACGUG
rnacentral:rRNA from 1 species